rnacentral:rRNA from 1 species
UACGAAGGGGGCUAGCGUUGCUCGGAAUCACUGGGCGUAAAGGGUGCGUAGGCGGGUCUUUAAGUCAGAGGUGAAAUCCUGGAGCUCAACUCCAGAACUGCCUUUGAUACUGGAGGAUCUUGAGUUCGGGGAGAGGUGGAGUGGAACUGCGAGUGUAGAGGUGAAAUUCGUAGAUAUUCGCAAGAACACCAGUGGCGAAGGC